AUUCUUAUGACUUAAAACCACACAUGCACCGACACAUGGUUUCUGGGUGCCCGCUUAAAAAGGGUCGAAUCAUGGGGUGUAUGGAGGCAUAAC
rnacentral:sRNA from 1 species